rfam:Cavia porcellus supercont2_7 genomic scaffold, whole genome shotgun sequence.
AUCCCCUGGCAAUGGGCAGAGACACCUCACUCACUGGUGGCGGUGUUCUUAUAUCAAUCAGGGGCAGAACAGGCUUUGUUCAUCUUAGCUUGAUUCCUGGGUUGGCAGCCAAAGUAGUUUCAUGGGUAGGGCACAUAA